UACCUAUGUAUGUAUGUUAAUUCCUUUCUUUGACAUUGCCUUUCUUCUUCUUCUUCUUUUGAAAUCUACAACAUAUUUACAUUGAAAAAUUGAUCAUACAACUAAUUGACUUCCAUUUUGUGAGUGUUUAUUUCUCGUAGAUUCAAACACAACGGCAUGAAAAACAUUGAAACUCAUAAUUAUAAUAAUAACUCGGAUUCACUACCAAGAAGACCUUCUUCACGACGAGUAAGCAACGUUACAAAUAACUCAAUGAAUCUAACCGUUCCGAAGCAUAAUAUAAUGUGUGAUACGGGAAGUGCUUGUCUUAGCACUUCCAAAAGGAAAGGAAGACAAAAAACUCCACCAAACUCUGGUCAAAGGGCGAAAUCCAAGUCUCCUAAUCCAAGCUUUUGCUCUGUUCUGAGUAGAGUAAAGGAUUGGGAGCUGGGAGCAUUUACUCCAAAAACGGCGCUUGCAGAUAACGUGGAAGUGUAUCAUAAAAGCAAUGUGUCAUCCUCUGAAUCCGAGGGGGAAAAGAGUUAUAGUCCAUCAAGGCAGGGGAAGGAAAGUAACAACAAUAAUAGCAGCAACAACAACGUGAAUACCGCAUCCCCGUCCAAUAAAAAGGAUGAAAACGAUGCACAAGAGAAUAAGUCGAAUUUACUCAAGAGUGCAUUAUCCGCCAACAUAGAGGAAAUGGAUAUUCGAAUAGCCAACAACAAAUAUAGACUUGGUAGAAAAAUUGGAGGUGGAUCUUUUGGUGAUAUUUACUUAGCUAUUGAUAUUAUUUCCAGAGAAGAGGCGGCCAUUAAGUUGGAACAAGUUAAGGCUAAACACCCUCAACUUAAUAUUGAAUGCAAAUUCUACAAAUUUCUACAAGGAGGAGUUGGAAUCCCUCAAUUGAAGUAUUAUGGCACUGAAGGAGACUACCACGUUUUAGUUAUGGAGCUUCUUGGCCCGAGUAUCGAAGACUUAUUUAACUUUUGUGGACGAAAAUUUUCUCUAAAAACGGUUCUUUUGCUAGCAGAUCAAAUGAUUAGUCGAAUAGAAUUCAUUCAUAGUAAAAACUUCAUUCAUCGUGAUAUUAAACCGGAUAAUUUUCUCAUGGGACUUGGAAAAAAGGGAAAUUUAGUAUACGUGAUAGACUUUGGUCUAGCUAAAAGAUAUCGUGACGGAAGGACUCAUCAACACAUACCCUACAGAGAAAAUAAAAAUCUUACCGGCACUGCAAGAUACGCAUCAAUCAACACACAUCUUGGGAUAGAACAGUCACGAAGAGAUGAUAUGGAAGCAUUAGGCUACAUUUUUAUGUAUUUAAUUCAUGGAGCUUUACCUUGGCAAGGACUCAAAGCCAGAACAAAGGCUCAGAAGUAUGAAAAAAUAUCGGAGAAAAAAUUGUCUACACCCAUUGACGAACUUUGUAAAGGAGCUCCUUAGUUUUCAACGUAUCUAAACUACUGCAGAUCUUUGAGAUUUGAAGAAAGACCUGAUUACUCAUAUCUUAGACAAUUAGUUCGCAAUCUCUUUCACCGCCAAGGAUUUUCUUAUGACUACGUAUUUGACUGGAAUCUUAUUAAGGAGGAAAGUGAGAAGGACGAUGCUCGAACUAAAACAGAGAGGCCCGUAGCUGCCGCUGUCCAUUGAA
rnacentral:misc_RNA from 1 species